rnacentral:ncRNA from 1 species
GCGGCGGCCCCGGGGUCGCCCCGGACGAGUGGUGGGCGUACCCGGUCAGGCCAAGACGCCUCACG